rnacentral:tRNA from 1 species
GCGGCUGUGAUGGAAUUGGUAGACAUGCUAGACUUAGGAUCUAGUGCCGCAAGGCGUGGGGGUUCGACUCCCUUCAGCCGCACAA